AUUGAACGCUGGCGGCAGGCCUAACACAUGCAAGUCGAGCGGAUGAAGGGAGCUUGCUCCUGGAUUCAGCGGCGGACGGGUGAGUAAUGCCUAGGAAUCUGCCUGGUAGUGGGGGAUAGCGUCCGGAAACGGGCGCUAAUACCGCAUACGUCCUGAUGGAGAAAGUGGGGGAUCUUCGGACCUCACGCUAUCAGAUGAGCCUAGGUCGGAUUAGCUAGUUGGUGGGGUAAAGGCCUACCAAGGCGACGAUCCGUAACUGGUCUGAGAGGAUGAUCAGUCACACUGGAACUGAGACACGGUCCAGACUCCUACGGGAGGCAGCAGUGGGGAAUAUUGGACAAUGGGCGAAAGCCUGAUCCAGCCAUGCCGCGUGUGUGAAGAAGGUCUUCGGAUUGUAAAGCACUUUAAGUUGGGAGGAAGGGCAGUAAGUUAAUACCUUGCUGUUUUGACGUUACCAACAGAAUAAGCACCGGCUAACUUCGUG
rnacentral:rRNA from 1 species